rnacentral:lncRNA from 1 species
UAAAUUCUCUCCUUGAGAUUUCAACAUAAGAAUUUUGAAGGGUUUCAAACAUUCAUUCCCUAACAUUCUGCCCUUGACCUUUCAAAAAUCGUAUUCUUACAUGCAAAAUACAUAUCCAUUCCAACAGUCCCAUUAAGUUUUAACUCAUUUUCAACAUCAUCUCUGAAGUCUGAAGUUCAAAGUCUCUGUAAAUAUCUAAAUCAGGUAUAAGUGAGACUGGGGUAUGAUUUAUUCAGGGGCAGAAUUCUUCUCCAGCUAUGAACCUAUAAAACCAAACAAGUUAUGUGCUCCCAGAAUACAGUGGUGGGAGAGGCAAAGGAUAUUCCCAUUCCAAAAGGGAGUAAUUGGAAAAAAGAAAGGAGUUAUCAUUUCUAAGUAAGUGCAAAAACUAAUGUGACAAACUCCAUUAACCUUUAAGACUUGAGAGUAAUCCUCUUUGCCUUUCAAGAUCCACUGGGGUGGCAGUGUGACCUCAGCCUUGAUAUCUGAAUUGCCCUGUCAGUGGUGGGAAGAGAAGGGUGGUCUUAUUUUUUUUCCCUGUCUUGAAGAAAAGCACCUGGCUUCGGUUGAGAUGUCUGUUUAGGGCUGUGGUUCAUAUGUGUAUUAAUCUCCUCAUUAAAUGGUCACUUGACUGCACCUUUAGUAUUCUCUUCCAAGAAUGCUUUCUCAUUUUGUAAUAUAGAUAAGGCAGAGAAUUUCUCAAAUCUUUAAGUUCUGGUUCCUUUUUGCUUAACUCCAUUUUCAAAUUAUUUUUCUUUUCUUAUGUUUUACCAUCAGCAGUCAGAAGGAACCAAGCCACUCCUUCAAUCUUCGCAUAGGGAUCUUCUCAACUAAAUAUCCAGUUUCAUUGCUUACAAGUUGCCACUUCUGCAGAACACUAGAACGUGAACUCAAGUCAGUCAAAUUCUUUGUUAUUUUAUAAUAAGGAUCACCUUUUUUUUCCAGUUUCCAAUAACAAGUUCUUCAGUUCCAUCUGAGACCUUAUUAUGAUGGUCUUUGUAGUCCAUAUUUUUAUCAACAUUAUGCUCAGGAUUACUUAAGUAUUCUUUAAGAAGACUGAGGUUUUUCUCUCCAGGUCUCUUCUUUCUGAACCCUCAUCAUAACUACUCUUAAUGCUCAUAUUUCUAGUGUGUACCUCUAAACUCUUCUAGCCACUACCAGGUAACUAGUUGCAAAGUCACUUCCACUUUUUUAGGUAUUUUUUAUGGCAGCAUCCCACUCUCAGUACCAAAAUCUGUAACAGUCAAGGUUCUCCAGAGAAACAGAGCCUCUGGAGGCUGAAAGGUCCCACUAUCUGCUGUCUGCAAGCUGGAAACCCAGGAAAGCCAGUAGAGUAAUCCAAUCCAGUCUGAGUCUUUUUUUUUUUUUAAUUAUGCCUAUGGAAUACGGAAGUUACUGGGCCGGGGAUCAAAUCUGCACCACAGUAGCGACCCAAGCUGCUGUAGUAACAACACUGGGUCCUCAACCCACUGUGCCACUAGAGAACUCCCAGUCUGAGUCUAAAGUCCUGAGAACCAGAAGAGGUAUUGGUAUAAAUCUUACUUCUAGGGCAGAAGAAGAUGAGAUGUCUUAGCUCAAACAGUGAAUUAGGAAAAAAGGAGCAAAUUCUUCCUUUUUCUACCUUUUGUUCCAUUUAGGUCCUCAACAGAUUAGAUGAUGCCUGUCCACAGUGGUGAAGGCAAUCCAGGGAGUCCAUCGAUUCAAAUGCUAAUCUCUUCUAGAAACACUCUCAUAUAUACACCCAGAAAUAAUGUUUAAUGUGGGUACCACAUUGCCAGUCAAGUUUAUACAUAAAAUUAACCAUUGCACAUAUAAACAUAAAAAAAUCACUGAAAUAAAACUUCAGAAGAUGAAUUUAAGGCAAGUCACAAUGGAGAUCUACCUGAAUUAGUGGAUUGGACAAACCAAGAGGAAGAAAUAUCUAAAAACUGAGAACAAAUACAUAUAGAAAAAUAAAUUAUAACAAAGACAUUCAGUUAAAUAUUCAUUUUUUUCAUUUUUUAAUUAAAAAAUUUUAUUAUAUGUGAUUUACAAUGUUCUGUCAGUUUUCUGCACAGCAAAGUGACUCAGUUAUACAUUUAUAUACAUUCUUCAUUUUCACUUUAUCCUCCAUUGCAUUCCAUCACAAGUGAUUAGAUGUAGUUCCCUGUGCUAUACAGCAGUAUCUCAUUGCUUAUCAUUCCAAAUGCAAUAGUUUGCAUCUACUAACCACAAACUCCCAGUCCCUCCUAUUCAGUCCUCUGGCUCUUCCUUGGCAACCACAAGUCUGUUCUCCAUGUCCAUGAGUUUGUUUCCUUUCUAUAGAUAGGUUCAUUUGUGCCGUAUACUAGAUUUCAGAUGUAAGGGAUAUCAUAUGGUAUUUGUCUUUCUCUUUCUGACUUCACUAAGUGUGAGAGUCUCUAUUUCCAUCCAUGUUGCUGCAAAUGGCAUUGUUUUGUUCUUUUUUUUGGCUGAGUGGUAUUUCAUUGUGUAUAUGUACCACACCUUCUUAAUCCCUUCAUCUGUCGAUGAAUAUUUGGGUUGUUUUCAUGUCCUGGCUAUUGUGAAUAGUGCUGCAGUGCACAUGGGGUGCAUCAUAUAUCUUCUUUCUUUUUGCUUUUUGUCUUUUUAGGGCUGCACCUGCGGCAUAUGGAGGUUCCCAGGCUGGGGGUUGAAUUGGAGCUGCAGCUGCUGGCCUCUGCCACAGCCACAGCAAUGCCAGAUUCAAGCCACGUCUGCAACUUAACACCACAGCUCAUGGUAACGCUGGAUCGUUAACCCACUGAGGGAGGCCAGGGAUCGAACCUCCAUCCUCAUGGAUGCUAGUUAAAUUUGUUUCCACUGAGUCAUGAUGGGAACUCUGCAUGUAUCUUUUUCAAUGAAAGUUUUGUCUGGAUAUAUGCCCAGGAGUGGGAUUGCUGGGUUAUAUGGUAGUUCUGUAUUUAGUUUUCUGAGGCACCUCCAUACUGUUUUCCAUAGUGGUUGUACCAAUAUACAUUCCCACCAACAGCGUAGGAGGGUUCCCUUUUCCCCACACCCUCUCCAGCAUUUGUUAUUUGUAGACUUAUUAAUAUGGCCAUUCUGAUCACUGUGAGGUGGUGCCUCAUUGUAGUUUUGAUUUGCAUUUCUCUGAUAAUUAGUGAUGUUAAGCAUUUUUUCAUGUGCCUGUUGGCCAUCUGUAUGCCUUCCUUCUGGAGGAAUGUCUAUUAAGGUCUUCCUAUUUUUCAACUGAGUUUUUUGUUUUUUAUGCUGUUGAGUUGUAUGAGCUGUUUGUAUAUUUUGGAGAUUAUGCCUUGUCGGUUACAUCAUUUGCAACUAUUUUAUCCCAUUCCAUAACUUGUCCUUUUUUUUUUUUUUAAUUUCCUUUGCUGGGCAAAAGCUUCUAAGUUUGAUUAGGUCCCAUUGGUUUAUUUUUGUUUUUAUUUCUAUUGCUUUGGGAAACUGACCUAAGAAAACGUUUGUACAGUUGAUGUCAGAGAAUGUUUUGCCUAUGUUCUCUUCUAUGUGCUCUGUUCUUUUAUGGUGUUUUGUCUUGUGUUUAAGUCCUUAAACCAUUUUGAGUUUAUUUUUGUGUAUGGUGUGAGGGUAUAUUCUAACUUCAUUGAUUUACAUACGGCUGUCUCAGCACCACUUGCUGGAGAGACUGUCCUUUUCCCAUUUUAUAUUCCUGCCUCCCUUUUCAAAGGUUAAUUGACCAUAGGUGUUGGGUUUAUUUGUUUCAUUUUCCGCAUACCGUUUCUAUGGACAUUGUUGGAACUUGUGCGUCAUCAAAAUAAUGAUGCACAAGAAAGAAGAAAACAAAAUUAAGGGAACAAGAUAGAACACAAAAGAGAGGCAGAGGAAUUUACUGAGUAUUGGUGAAGAGACACACCAAAUGAUAGCUGUGCAGCAGGCCUGAAAAUUAAUCAGUCUAGAUUUGAACAGAUCAGAAGGCUCAAGGAAAGACUUCUUCAAGAAGGUGAAGUUAAUAAAAUACCUAAUGGAUUCAAGUGUGUUGAGAAGAGAUUUACACAAGCUCUGGAGAAUAUGGUAGAAAAAUUAAAGUUAAAAACAGAAAAGUAAAAAUGGGAAAAAAGAUAAUUCUUGACUAGGAAAAAUAAUCAUAGUAGAUAUGAUUCAGCUAUCAUAGUGUUUUACAUGGUCAGUAUAGGCAAUGGAUAUUAAUCUUAUGGACCUUGUAAUAUGAUCCUGUGCUAUUGCUACAACAGGCCUUGAGAAGGGUUGUCUAGGGAGACAGCAUGGAGGAGAAAGACUUAGGAAAAAAAUGGAUAUGGAUCUAUCAUAACAUUAUAAGAUUUUGGAAGAAUAAGGCAGCCUAAAUAUGUGUGUGUGUGUGUGUGUGUGUGUGUGUGUGUGUGUGGCAAGAAUGGUGGUUAUAUAUAAAAGAUAAGUUUUCAUCUUUUGUAAUAAAUAUUAUCACUAGGUAGUAAUUGCUUAUAACUGAAAGUCAGUAAGAAUAUAAAACUGUAAGAAUAUUAUUUAGAAAUUGGGGGUAAAUACCAAAAGCCAUCAGGAAGAGUUGAUAGCCAUUGCCUUCAAGGGUGAGAAAUUUGAAAUGUAUAGGGCCUAAUAUUUUUCAGAAUGAGUCUUAGAAAGUUUUAAAACUUUGCUAAAAACACCUCUUCCCAAGUCUAAAU